GACGAACGCUGGCGGCGUGCUUAACACAUGCAAGUCGAACGGAAAGGCCUCUUUCGGGGGGUACUCGAGUGGCGAACGGGUGAGUAACACGUGAGUAACCUGCCCUUGACUUUGGGAUAACUUCAGGAAACUGGGGCUAAUACCGGAUAGGAGCUCCUGCUGCAUGGUGGGGGUUGGAAAGUUUCGGCGGGUGGGGUUGGACUCGCGGCUUAUCAGCUUGUUGGUGGGGUAGUGGCUUACCAAGGCUUUGACGGGUAGCCGGCCUGAGAGGGUGACCGGCCACAUUGGGACUGAGAUACGGCCCAGACUCCUACGGGAGGCAGCAGUGGGGAAUAUUGCACAAGGGGUGGAAGCCUGAUGCAGCAACGCCGUGUGCGGGAUGACGGCCUUCGGGUUGUAAACCGCUUUCGCUCAUGACGAAGCUUUGUGUGACGGUAGUGGGUAAAGAAGCACCGGCUAACUACGUG
rnacentral:rRNA from 1 species